rnacentral:rRNA from 1 species
UACAGAGGGUGCAAGCGUUAAUCGGAAUUACUGGGCGUAAAGCGUGCGCAGACGGUUGCGUAAGUCAGAUGUGAAAUCCCCGGGCUUAACCUGGGAACUGCAUUUGUGACUGCAUGGCUAGAGUGCGGCAGAGGGGGAUGGAAUUCCGCGUGUAGCAGUGAAAUGCGUAGAUAUGCGGAGGAACACCGAUGGCGAAGGCAAUCCCCUGGGCCUGCACUGACGCUCAUGCACGAAAGCGUGGGGAGCAAACAGG